UUUCUUAAAAUGGAAUGUUGGUGUUUUUGUUGAAAAAAUAUUAGUGACCAUGUAUUAGAAUGAUUAAACGAGAUUUGAAUACUUUAACUAUUCUGGAAAGAUUCUUAGUUUGAUAUAUUUUGUUUGUUUGGAUUUUAAAGAUACUUCGAAUUAGAAAUAUAUUUUGGUUUGUUUGUUAAUUUAUGUAUGAUGCUUGGUGGUAAUUUGAAUUGUGAAAUGUAAAAAAUUGUCAUAUAAAUAGUGGAUGGAUAUUGCUAAUAGAUUGAAUGUUGAAACUGCGACCAAACCGUUCGUCGCUAAUAUAUGAUUGCUGGUAUAUAUUGAUAGAUUAAUUUGCGACCAUAUUAUUGGUCGCAAAAUAUUUGUUUAAUUAAUUACUUGUUAUGAAAUUUGCGACAAAUUAAUCUCGUCGCUAUACUAUCAUAAAAUAAUAAAAUAAAAUUAUUAAAAAAAUAAUGACUUUUAGCGACGACUAGAUGUUGUUGCAAUUAGGUUAUAUUUAGCAACGAAAAAUAUUAUCUAGAUGUAUGUUUAGCAACAAAUUACGGGGUCACUAGCGACCAAUUAUUGUGUCG
rnacentral:lncRNA from 1 species